UGAAUGCUGGAAGUAGAAAUCGUUACUAACCGCCAGCUAGACAUGGGCGGUGAAUCCAUUAGCGUGAAUUGA
rnacentral:rRNA from 1 species